rnacentral:rRNA from 1 species
UACGUAGGGGGCAAGCGUUAUCCAGAUUCACUGGGCGUAAAGCGCGUGUAGGCGGCUGGUUAGGUGUGAUGUGAAAUCCUCGGGCUCAACCCGAGAACUGCAUUGCAAACCGGCCUGGCUAGAGUGCAGGAGAGGGAAGCGGAAUUCCAGGUGUAGCGGUGAAAUGCGUAGAUAUCUGGAGGAACACCGGUGGCGAAGGCGGCAUCCUGGACCGACACUGACGCUGAGGAGCGAAAGCCAGGGGAGCAAACGGG